rnacentral:lncRNA from 1 species
CCGGCGUUGCUGAGGUCUAAGGAGGGUGGGCACAGAGCCGCCAGCAGCGGGAGCCUUCCGGAGGGAGGCAGGAUCCCAGAGGGAGGCGGAGGUGUGCCAGCUCCAGCCAGUGGCCCCGGCCGGGAGCAGGGGUGAGCCAGGUGGGAGCGCCCUCAAGAGGGGUCUGGGGUCUGGAGGUGGAGGACGGCUGUUCCAGGUCCUGCUGGGCGGGUCGUGAGCCCUUGGCCAUCGCCCAGCCCCCUCCUGCCCAGUUGAGGGCCCCCCUGCACCACCGUCUGGCCUGCUGCCUGCCUCUGACCUGCACCUGGGGAUGAGGGUUCAGCUGACACGGCUGGUCUGGAGAGGAAGCUGGCAGGGAAGUCACCCCAGAGCUUCUUCCUCCAGGGCCUGUGGGUUGGGAAGGGAGGCUCUGUCCGGAGGCCCAGUGUGGCUGGUGGUGG